UCUGUGUGCAGACUUGUGUGUAGGUCAUCUCUGUGGCAAGUGGUGACAGAGCUCCGGGGGCAUCAUUUUGCCUGAAGCUGAGAGCAAUGAGAUCUAAGCUCAGACCAACCCGCUUGGCUCUAACGUCUGAAGAGCUGGGUUGAUAUGGAAGCUGUGAAAAGAGCAAGACAGACUGAUGCCUAGUGCAGGACGCGUGGAAAUACACACGUGUUCAUACUCACCGCAAGGAAGUCGGGAAAAGGAACCACACGUAGUAGAUGAAUUGAGCUUUUAAUAAGUAUUAAUACAUAUUUUAUGUAAGCUUUUAAAAUCUUUUUGCACGCAGUCAUUCCGGUGCUUCUUGUCAAAUGUCUUUGAUGCACAGGUUUAACACGUUUGGUUA